rnacentral:rRNA from 1 species
AGUGAACGCUGGCGGUAGGCCUAACACAUGCAAGUCGAACGGCAGCACAGUAAGAGCUUGCUCUUACGGGUUGCGAGUGGCGGACGGGUGAGGAAUACAUCGGAAUCUACUUUUUCGUGGGGGAUAACGUAGGGAAACUUACGCUAAUACCGCAUACGACCUACGUGUGAAAGCAGGGGAUCUUCGGACCUUGCGCGAUUGAAUGAGCCGAUGUCGGAUUAGCUAGUUGGCGGGGUAAAGGCCCACCAAGGCGACGAUCCGUAGCUGGUCUGAGAGGAUGAUCAGCCACACUGGAACUGAGACACGGUCCAGACUCCUACGGGAGGCAGCAGUGGGGAAUAUUGGACAAUGGGCGCAAGCCUGAUCCAGCCAUACCGCGUGGGUGAAGAAGGCCUUCGGGUUGUAAAGCCCUUUUGUUGGGAAAGAAAAGCAGCAGGUUAAUACCCCGAUGUUCUGACGGUACCAAAAGAAUAAGCACCGGCUAACUUCGUG